UAGGAGCCAAUCCCUUUGACUGCAUGAGCUUAGAUAUUAACAGCCUCUGAGCAGCUCCGAAGUGUGGGUUCUAAGGCUCUUUGAAUCGGGCUUCUCUUUGGUAGGCAAAGGGUGGUCCUUGAUUGAUGGCAUAUGCCUAAAGGAUAAGGCCGAAGACCUAAGAGAUUUCUCCUCCCCACUUUAUAGAAGGUUAGUGAAGCCAUAGCUUCUAGGAUCAGAACUGCUUUAUAGCUUUCCCUCAUUCUCAGACACUCUGGUAACAUCACACAUGUUAGAAAAUCAGCAUCGCGCAUGCAUUGCACAUGCGUCGUGCAUGCGUCUCUAUGAGCUGGAGCUGCCCUGGUAAUCUAUACAGACUGGGGGUUGAACAGCAGAGACAUACUCUAGAGACAGGCUAGAGUCGAACAUCCAAGUACCGACAGGAUUGGUCUCUCCAGAGGCGUCUCUCCUUAGCUUAUGGAUUGAUUACCUUCUUGUUGGGUCCUCACCCUAGUCUGCUCUCCUCAUAAGGAAGACAGACAGAUUGGAUUAGGGUUCACUCUAAUAACCCUAUUUAAACUUACUCAUCGUGUGUGUGUGUGUGUGUGUGUGUGUGUGUGAUGUGCAUGUUGGGGGUAUGUAUGUCUAUGUGCCGUUAUGUGCAUGUUCCUAUGGAAGUCAGAGGUUCACAUUGAGUGUGUUCCUCUCUGGCUCUCUUCACUUUAUUUCUUGAGACAAGGUUUCUCACUGAACCUAAGUCACGGAUUUGGCUAAACUUGGCAGCAAGUCCCAGAUGUCCUCCUCUCUCUGUCCUCCCCACACUCCCUGGCACUAGUGUUAUAGCUGUUAACUUUCAUGUGUAGUCUUUAGAUGUAUGUUGGGUGUCCACUCAUGCUUGCCCAGCAGCUCGUGCCUUGAGCACGUUAAGCUGCCUCCCUAGUCCUUAUUCACCUCUUUAACUUAUGUGGUGGUCUGAAUAUGCUCGACCCAUAGGGAGUGGUACUGUUAGGAGGUGUGGCCUUGGUGGAGGAAGAGUGUCAUUGUGGGGGUGGGCAUUGGAGGCCUCCUAUACUCAGGCUCCACCCAUUGUAGAAGACAGCUUCCUCUUAGAUGCCUGAGGAUGCCAGCCUCUCCUGGUUGCCUUUGAAUUAGGAUGCAGAACUCUCAGCUCCUUCUCCAGCACCAUGUCUACCUGCACGAUGCCAUGCUUCCUGCUAUGAUGAUAUUGGACUAAACCUCUGAGACUCUAAGCCAGCCCCAAUUAAAUGUUUGUCUUUAUAAGAGUUACUUUGGUCAUGGUGUCUCUUCAUAGCAAUGGAAACCCUAAUGAAGACAAUCUAUCUAUAAACAGUGUCAGACCCUGAGAGAGAGACUGGGUGUUAGAGGUCGGCAUGUGCAUUUGGGAGCAUGAUGGUUAAGCCUCAUCGUCACCCAGGCAGGAUUUAGUGUCACCUAGAGAAAAAUCCUCUAGAUGGAUCUGUGAGGAUGUUUCCAGAGAGUUUUAAGCGAGGACCCAUCCUGGACGUGAGCAGAGCUGUUGCAUGGAGUGAAGUCCUGGGCUGAGAAAAAACAAAAGUAGACAAAGGUGAGAGUGAACAGACAGCAGCAUUCACCUCUCUGUGCUUGGUGACUGCAGG
rnacentral:lncRNA from 1 species